CCUAAAUUUAUUCAUAAUUUUUUUUGCAAGAUAUAUCGUAAAACGUAUGGACAACAUGUUGGAUUUGCUCAAUUCAUGGACUCCUGGUUGCAUUCUCUGAUGCGCAAGGUGAAUUCAUUGAGUUUUGAUGGUAUUUUAAACGUGACGGUCAGUUAUGUAUAGUACUCAACAAUAAACUGCACCAUGGUCUGAAAACUCAUUUAAAACCACUUUUUCAAGGUAAAACUUCCGAAUCUUGAAUUCUUCGUCAACCUGGGUGACUGGCCUCUCGAGAAAAGACCCAACAUUUUCCAUGAGGCGUUUUCAAACUCUUACUUGACCGGUCUGUUCGGGUCCUUUCUUCGUUUCUUUCUACUUUUCUGUUCUGUUCCAUCAUUGCUUUCACUUUCCUUUCGUUUCGGCGCUUCCGUUUGUUUCAGGGCAGUAAUCGGGACGGAGUCACUGUCUGCACUGUUCACGCUUGAUGGCGAGCCAGUGUCAGCAUC